rnacentral:rRNA from 1 species
AGAGUUUGAUCAUGGCUCAGAACGAACGCUGGCGGCACGCCUAACACAUGCAAGUCGAGCGCACUUAUGAUCUUCGGAUUAUAGGCGAGCGGCGGACGGGUUAGUAACGCGUGGGAACGUACCCUUUACUAAGGAAUAGCCUUUGGAAACGAAGAGUAAUACCUUAUACGCCCUUCGGGGGAAAGAUUUAUCGGUAAAGGAUCGGCCCGCGUAAGAUUAGAUAGUUGGUGGGGUAAUGGCCUACCAAGUCUACGAUCUUUAGCUGGUUUGAGAGGAUGAUCAGCAACACUGGGACUAAGACACGGCCCAGACUCCUACGGGAGGCAGCAGUGGGGAAUCUUAGACAAUGGGCGAAAGCCUGAUCUAGCGAUGCCGCGUGAGUGAAGAAGGCCUUAGGGUCGUAAAACUCUUUCGCCAGAGAUGAUAAUGACAGUAUCUGGUAAAGAAACCCCGGCUAACUCCGUGCCAGCAGCCGCGGUAAUACGGAGGGGGUUAGCGUUGUUCGGAAUUACUGGGCGUAAAGCGCACGUAGGCGGACUGAUCAGUUAGAGGUGAAAUCCCAGGGCCCAACCCUGGAACUGCCUUUAAUACUGUCAGUCUAGAGAUCGAGAGAGGUGAGUGGAAUUCCUAGUGUAGAGGUGAAAUUCGUAGAUAUUAGGUGGAACACCAGUGGCGAAGGCGGCUCACUGACUCGAUACUGACGCUGAGGUGCGAAAGCGUGGGGAGCAAACAGGAUUAGAUACUCUGGUAGUCCACGCCGUAAACGAUGAGAGCUAGUCGUCGGGUAGCAUGCUAUUCGGUGACGCAGUUAACGCAUUAAGCUCUNCNCCUGGGGAGUACGGUCGNANGAUUAAAACUCAAAUGAAUUGA